UAUCUGUAUCUGCAGUAUUGC
rnacentral:miRNA from 1 species